UACGGAGGGUGCGAGCGUUUGUCCGGAAUCACUGGGCGUAAAGGGCGCGUAGGCGGCCGUGUAAGUCACUUGUGAAAUCCCGGGGCUCAACUCCGGGGCUGCAGGUGAGACUGCGUGGCUAGAGCACGGUAGAGGCGAGUGGAAUUCCCGGUGUAGCGGUGGAAUGCGUAGAUAUCGGGAAGAACACCGGUGGCGAAGGCGGCUAACUGGUCCAGUACUGACGCUGAGGUGCGAAAGCGUGGGGAGCAAACAGG
rnacentral:rRNA from 1 species